CUUCAUGCCUCUACGUCAGCCGCCAACUAGAUAAGUCGAUGCCUCUCAUCGCGAAACAUGUCACGUACUGAUGAAACUCAGCGUUUCAUUUAAACGCGUGACAUGAUGGGCUUUCUUUGUUAUUCACAUGUUGGGCUCUACGUUUGACUGCUCUAUCCGACCAAAGACGAUGCGACUUGCCCUCUAACCUAAUUUCUCCAUCGACGAUUUGCUGAUCGUCUGCGACCUUGACUCUCUGACGUUUUAUCUAGAAUCUCGUUUUCCUGUUUUUUUCUUUAAUAUAGAUGAUGUUUUCAGUCUGAGCGAGAUGUUAAUUAGAUGUAUAUAUACUUGCAAACAAUUGCUUUUGCAGGAUGAAAAUGGAAUCAUGUAAGAUGUUCAUCGGUCGGCUAUCCUGGAAGACCACUGAAUAUCAAGAGUAUUUCAGAGUUUCGGUGAGGUUUUACAAGUGGUGAUCAUGAAGGAUCGAGCCACUGGCUGUGCUCAUGGCUUUGGUUUCUUUUUCUUUGCUGGUUCCAGUGUUGCUGUGAGAGCCAUAUUGCUCAUUCACGUCAUUGAUGUUAAAUUUUGUUUGGAACAGAGGUUACUGCUCCUCCAAGUAAAGCUAUCGUUUUAUUCAUUCCUGUUUUUGCCUAUGUUCUUAUGCAUUUUCGCCAAAGGUGAGGUUAUAUCCCUUUUCAGCCUGGUUAUUUAUCAACGCCAUGUCAUGAACUUGCAUCUACUUUGAUUCAGAAGCAGCUGCAGGACAGUGUUACUAUGAGAGAUAGGUCAGAGAUGGCACAGCUGCGCCAACAACAUUAACAAAGUAUCUUCGUACGCAGAAAAUUGAAUCUCUCACUGUAGCGGAACUGAUAAAUAUGUCAUAAAAAUACAACCUCAGUCAGUCGACGUUCCCUGUACCGGCAACGUAAUGGGAAUUCAUUCUGAUAAUGGCUGGUGUUACAUCUCUUGAUCGAAGUGCUCCAAGAAGCUCCAGCGAGGUGUAUCUUCAUUCACCGGCAUUAGAUGUGAUGAAUCAAAUGCUGUUGGUGUCUUCAGGUACAACUUUCAAGAGUAACAACACCUGGUGGUCUCAAAAUACUUGACAAAAUGGUUGCAACAAGCAGUCCAAAUGGUGUAACUAAUAUUGUUUACAGAUACAUUUUCAAAGACCUUGGGACAGGUGACAGCUAGGAUAUGCGAGCAGUUUACUUGAUAGCAACAUCAAGGCUACUUCCUGCAAAACAAACAUACUACCAACAAUCCAGUGACUGGAAUAGCUGGGAGUGUGUCUUCGUGCAGCUGUGUCCCCAAGAUUUCAUAUCUAACUUUAGUGCAUUGAUUCACCAGUCACUCUGUGGUUGGUUGUUGUUUUUAUGUUAAAUACGACAAGAGUAUUUGGGCAUAUAUAUAUAACUUAAAUAAAUGGAUGCAUCUGGUUUAGAGUUA